rnacentral:misc_RNA from 1 species
UGGUCAUGAUUUCUGGUUCAUGGGGUUUGUGAAUUUUGAUAAAGCAAAACAUCAUCUACUUGAAACUUUGUCAAUUUUUAGAGCACAACCCCCUCAUCUCAAUCUGCAACAACCAGCAGCUACUUACUAGAAGCAUUGCCUGUACUCUGUUUUAGUGUGUUUUUUUUCCUGUUUGUUCCUGCAUUAGAUAUGUAUUUGUAUUUCUUUUAUUGUAACAUUACUUGUAUGUUUAUACAUAUUCGGGAGUGACUAUGUUCGUUUUGAUGUAAAUAAAAG